CCUGCUGUUUCAAGUUUUGAGAUGAUCCCUAACUGGAUUAAAGUCAUCAACUGGCAGGCAGAGGCUGGCUAUUCACAAGAAACAGGGUCAUGCCGCAUUUUUUUUUCUUUUUUGUAAGCACAGGAAUCAACAAAGAGAUGUUAUAUAACAUCUAUUUAUAUCCUCCUUGCUCACUAGCUGCAGGCAUACUGGAGUAGCUGAGAAGGGAAUUUAAUGAGCUCUCAGGGUUUGCUCACCUUCCUGAGCUGGUAAGAGCCAGCUCCUUCUGAAGUGCGUCAGCAAAUGAAUCUGCCUGUGGGUGGGUGCUUUGGGGUAGGUGGACUGGGUGGUUGCUAUGGUUUUCUUUAAUUCCCCUGUCUCUCAA
rnacentral:sRNA from 1 species